rnacentral:rRNA from 1 species
GAGAACUGUCCCACUUGGGUUUUUACCAAGUUGUGUGACUAAUUCUUGAACAGCCAUCCUUCUAGUUUUCUGUUCUAGCUAUCCUUUACUGGACUUGGUUAGUUUACAGAUCUAGAUCUUUUACUUUGAAAAAAUUAGAGUGUUUCAAGCAGGCUAUUUAUAGGCUAUGAAUACAUUAGCAUGGAAUAAUGAUUUAGGACUUCGGUUCUAUUUUGUUGGUUUCUAGGACUGAAGUAAUGAUUGAUAGGGAUAGUUGGGGGUGCUAGUAUUCAGCGGCCAGAGGUGAAAUUCUUGGAUUCGCUGAAGACUAACUUAUGCGAAAGCAUU